rnacentral:siRNA from 1 species
CUGAUUUGUGUUGUUUUCCGGUA